UACGUAGGGUGCAAGCGUUAUCCGGAAUUAUUGGGCGUAAAGAGCUCGUAGGCGGUUUGUCGCGUCUGCUGUGAAAACCCGAGGCUCAACCUCGGGCCUGCAGUGGGUACGGGCAAACUAGAGUGCGGUAGGGGAGAUUGGAAUUCCUGGUGUAGCGGUGGAAUGCGCAGAUAUCAGGAGGGACACCGAUGGCGAAGGCAGAUCUCUGGGCCGUAACUGACGCUGAGGAGCGAAAGCAUGGGGAGCGAACAGG
rnacentral:rRNA from 1 species